UACGUAGGGUGCGAGCGUUGUCCGGAAUUAUUGGGCGUAAAGGGCUCGUAGGCGGUCUGUUGCGUCGGGAGUGAAAACUCAGGGCUUAACCCUGAGCCUGCUUCCGAUACGGGCAGACUAGAGGUAUGCAGGGGAGAACGGAAUUCCUGGUGUAGCGGUGAAAUGCGCAGAUAUUGGGAAGAACACCAGUGGCGAAGGCGGUUCUCUGGGACGGUACUGACGCUGAGACGCGGAAAGCGUGGGGAGCGAACAGG
rnacentral:rRNA from 1 species